GGUUGACCAGAUUUAUUCAUGACAGUGGGAACAAUGAAAGUGAAAACUCGAGGAAAAAGCUGAGUGAGCAUUUAAAAAUAAAACCUCGUAGAACUGUUUCACAUUUUAAAUCAAGUUUACUGACCUUCACUUGGUCAAUAAAACCAAAACAAGAUGUUGCUUUUAGUGACUCAAACCCUUCACUUGGUACUUUGGGAGGCACAUACUCUAUCUAAGGCCCAACCGAAAGUGAAGAUCACAGUCAAAUCUGCAGGUCUAAAGUAUUAUUGCUUUAAUUUCUGAAGCACAGUUCAGUUGGAAUCGAUACUGAGUUUAUUUACAAGGACAUUUUGUGUUUCUGCCUGGUUGAUAUAUUUAGCCACACGCUCAAAUCAGCAGCUGGACUGCUCAUGAUGUGGAAUCUGAAAGCUGUUCGAGCCAUGCAGGUGCUUAGAGAUGAUCAAAACAAGAAAUAAAAUUGCAUCCAUCUGAGGGAGGUCAAGCUGAAGCAACGUAUGCAAAACAUGAUAUGAUUCCCUACGAGAGAAACACAAAAACCUGGCAUGGAUUCCACCCCCCAUCCGACAAGGGAGACAAAAUGUGAUGCUGACGUUAACAUUUCCUCAGGGUUCUCUUCUCCACUCACGAAGCAGACAGUGAGAUCCUGCCCCUGCCACCACCCCUGUGCUCCCGGUGAACAUGCGACUCAGGAGUAAGUCCCAGUGCAAUGUCUGUCAGGUCCCAAAGUUCCACUGCGGGGAUGGUCACUGUUUGGACUGUGGGUGGCAACAAUGCUAGUUAGCCAGGGAUGGGGAGGGAGGGGUAAGAAAGAAUGGUGUUGCCUCUAUUGGGUUCAAGGGACCUAUAAAAUAAGGAUCUCCUCACCCUGUAGUCCAAGAAAUGAAAAGUGGCACCCUUCAAAUGGGGUCCCUUCCUCCACCCACCAGAGAAUUGUUACAAGAGGGUGGGAAGAAGCCGUUAAGUGGCCAUUAAUUACCUCAAUUGACCCAAAGGCAGCAGGGACAUCUCACACCUUCCUCACCAGAUGAUAAGUUAUGAUCUAUUAUCCUGCCCCAGAGGAUCAUGUCAUUCUGGGUCAUUACAUUGUUGAAUAUUUUACAUCCUUCCAUCUCAUUACCCUUCUCUAGUGCAACAUCUAUCUUAAUCAUUGAGAGGGUGACAACACAACUGCUUCCAGGUCUUUACCAUGAGUUCAGUGUAAUUGGCCACUCACAGCUCCCAGAGGACCACACCAUUCUGGUUAGGAGUUAGAAAGAUCACAAUAGUCAUCAGAAAAAUGCAUGGACUUAAAACAAUAUUGUAUUUUCCACAUUCCUAAAGCAAAAUUAUGUUGUCAUUAAAUCUGUCUCCGACAAAUUACAAAACCAUGUUUUCUAUACUUUAUAUAUUCUGACCAUUGAUGAAUAUAAUCUGAAGCCGUGUUCAUAUCCAUUAACCUAAGAUAGAUGUGAUCUCAAAUGGGUUGUAAAAUACCAAAAGUCUAAACCUGUGUCAGACUUGCAAAGACUUCACAGCAUUGUGGUAUUUUCUAAUCUUAUAUAAAAUGGUGUAAGCUUAUAAACUCAAUUUGAAAGUAAAGUUGUAAAGCUGCAAUGGUAAAUAUUUAUUUUAAAUCAAUAAUAGGGCUCCCGCCUGGUCGAUUUUCCUUAGCCCAGAUUUGACCUCUUCCAGGAAUCGAACCAUCUUCAAAGCUCUUAUUGCAAUAUCCUUCCUUCGCAAGUGUAGUAAGUGCAAGACAGUUCAAGGAAUGGGAUGAUUAAGGUUGGCUAGUCAGUUAUUUGGUGAACUUGGUCAUUUCAAAGGCUCAAAAUGGAAAUAACAACUAAUGACUUCUGACAGAUUUCAUCACCAUUUUGUAAAAUUGCCCUAUAAUCAUAAACUCAGCUGUUACUACAGUAAUUUACACUUGAUGGAAUAAAAUAAUUAGAUUAUUUUGUUUGGAUUAUGUACUUGUGCAAUGUACAUAUCUGCAUCCUUUGGAUAAUUUGUGAUAUUUUCUAUACAUUGGUGUAAGCACACUGAUUCAUGGGAAUGAUUGAAUUGCCACAGCGGAAGAGAUUAAUUGAAUUAAAAGCGUUUGGCUGCCUGUCUCUCUCUUGCAUCAGCAUGUUGUUCUUAUCAGUAAGCACAUUUGGUCUUGGGGCUAGCAAGCACAUUUUUAAUAAAAUGAAAGGGCAGUAGUACUGUUGAGUCAGUAUGUUUUCUACAAUCCAUGCUAUUGCUUAUAAAGGCACCCUCGACCCUCUCUCUGUUAUAUUCAGGCAGACUGGCUUAGUUUAUUGGCAGCACUGUAUACAGAAUGCAAUCAGUCUGGCUUAAAGAAGUGACUACACUGUGGAAGAGGAUUCUGAAGCUGGUAAUGAGAAUUGUCUCCUUCAAGCAGAUGCAAGAUGGAUAUUUGAGAAAUGACUCGACCACGGCGGUUGUAAGUUUUCCACAUUUGGCAACAAAACUGUGUGAAAAUCAAGUGGAAAACAUUGAAAACCAAAGAUCCUUGGGUACAUUUAGAGGAUGGCAAUUUCCACUUGGAACGUCAUUGAAAUUCAAGAAAACAAGAUACUGACUAAUAAAAGGAUCCAGGAACCAGAUGCCAUCUACUCAAAAUUCUCUUGCUCUGCCUGACGCAGUUUCCAUCCUAAUUUCACAUAU